rnacentral:tRNA from 1 species
CGCGCGGUUGCACGAGGGGGUCCGCGCGGCGCUCCCGUCGGUGCGGAGAUCCGCGCUGGAUCGCCGCCGGCCGGUGCGG